CCCGUCUUCGCCUCUUGAGAAAUUGGAUGAUAGUGUGGACCGGUUUUCGGUGAAAUUCUGCUAGGUAUCACAACCAGCCUGUCUAGGCCCCAUCUCUGUAACGGCACGGCAUCCGUCGCGCCCGCCAUGGUUCGGCGACGCAUGUGGAGGCUCCAGGACUGCAGUCGGCGUGAAGAAAUCAAGAUUUGGCUAAGAUCACAUAACUAGGAGGUGGGGAGUUGGAACCCACUAUGACUGACUCCAAAUUAUUACAGUGUUUGUAGCCACUUACAUAAUAAUGGACAUGAAAGUUGGAAGUUUUAAGUAG